GCAGGUGAUUAUUAAAAUCUGGGGUUUUUUUCCCACUGGCAGAAUCAAACAAACAUUUUAGAAGAUAUCAAUGGCUUUGUAUCAUUUGAUAUUUAAUUUUUAAUAUCAAGCCCUUAACUGAAAUGCAGACAAUGAGAGAAGAGACUCCAGUUGAACUAUAGACACCCUGCAGCAAGCACAGUUUGGCUUGGGCUAUAAAAUGGGUUGGUCAGAAUCUGGGAAUCCCUUUGAACCCAAGGCCUUGUGCCUGGGAGGCAAGCACUCUACCAACUGAGCUACAUCCCCAGCCCUUCACUUAGUUCUUAAAGUCACCAAGAGCUAAGUUAAUGACACAGAAAUUAAAAAUCCUCAGAACUACAGUAAUAGUUUAGGAAUCCUCAUGGUUUUAGGGGGAAACCCAAAGAAAGCAAAAGUCUGUAUGGAUAGAGGGAAUAAGCAUAUGGUAUUUGAAAAUGGUUUUCCAAGCUGCAUUGACAAGGGACAUCAAAUAAUCCACUUCCUCUAACCACCCACUUGUGAUUAAGGGUGCAUGAUUUUUUUGGUUUGUUUGUACAGUUCUGAAGCCAGAUGUACAGAUAGGUAGUUAUUGUAGUUAGGUAAAUCUGGUCUAAUAUCGAGUAAGAUAGAUAAAAUGGAGGCCAUUAUAGAGAAUGGAGUCCAGGAAACCAGAGCAGCCUUGGGGAAAUUGAAAUGUUAAUGUCCCCAAGGCCCUGAGCCCACCCUAAGGAAAUGUUAAUGAAGCAGCUCCCAGCAACAGGAAAAUGCUAAUCAAAAGCUGCCCAGGCCAUUCCUGCCCAGACUAUUCCUUCGGCACACCUAUCUCCCACCUUUUGGGCCUUCCCACCUGCAUUCCAUCACUGAAAGAUAUAGGGAAACAAAGACAUGAGUGUGGGAAAGACGAAAGAAGACCUUAG
rnacentral:lncRNA from 1 species